rnacentral:rRNA from 1 species
GUUAGGAAUAUUGGACAAUGGGCGAAAGCCUGAUCCAGCCAUGCCGCGUGAACGAUGAAGGCCUUCGGGUUGUAAAGUUCUUUAGCCGAUGAUUAUAAUGACUGUAGUCGGAAAAUAAGCCCCGGCUAACUUCGUGCCAGCAGCCGCGGUAAUACGAAGGGGGCGAGCGUUAUUCGGAAUCACUGGGCGUAAAGCGUGCGUAGGCGGUUUUGUAAGUUAGGAGUGAAAGCCCAGGGCUCAACCUAGGAAUUGGUCUUAAAACUGCAAGGCUCGAAUCUCGGAGAGGAUAGCGGAAUUUCCAGUGUAGCAGUGAAAUGCGUAGAUAUUGGAAGGAACACCAGUGGCGUAAGCGGCUAUCUGGACGAGUAUUGACGCUGAGGCACGAAAGCGUGGGGAUCAAACAGGAUUAGAAACCCCAGUAGUCC